UUAAUUGACCUUAUUUACCUGAAUGUCUCAUAAAAAUCAAUAUAUUCAAACCUAGUCAUCAUCCCCAAUAAAAUUGUUCAACAAUGUUGUCGACAACUACAACAACAUUGCAAAGAACAUCUAAGUGAAGCUCGAGCUUACUCACAUAGAUGUUCUUGCAACAUCUGCUUCGUCUUUUCAGGAACAGGAACACCAGAGUGUGCGAAUUUGCGUUUCAAACUUGGCUGCCUUGUAAAGUUGGAAUCCGAAACACUGGACGGCAAUUAAAAAAAAAAAAUGGAAAUCAGUUACGAUUGCAUUGGAAAAUAGUGCAAGGAUUCUUUGCUGCGGCCAGUUUCAUGGCCUACCAACAGUGUCGAUUCAACUUUGGGUUUUAACGACUUCGGUAGGCUCACCGUAGAAGAGAAGCAGAUAUUGCCAAAAAGGAUGUACAUGGCGCAGAUAAGAAAUUCCACGGUUCAAGAAAAUAUCUGUACCAUAGAGCCAUGUAAACACAAGUAAGUCGAAACUUAAAAUAAAUAACCAAAAAUAGGUCUGCAGGACAAGUUAUUAA
rnacentral:lncRNA from 1 species